rnacentral:snoRNA from 1 species
UUGAACUAUGUGUACUUGCUGUAAAUAUGGACAAAUAUUGAAAUGUGGGCUUUUAGGUGGGUAUUUGAUAAGCAAAGAGUACCCACAAAGGACCUACAUACAUUU